GAUGUCCCCAAAGACCCCAAAUAUCCCUGUCCCCAAACAUCCCCGGAUGUCCCCAAGUGUCCCCAAAUGUCCCCAGAGGUCCCCAAAUAUCCCCGUCUGCAAGUGUCCCAAAUGUCCCCAAGUGUCCCUAAAGUGUCCCCAAAUAUCCCCAUCCCCAAAUGUCCCCAUCCCCAGUUUCCCCAGAUGUCCCCAAAGGUCCCCUGUGUCCCCAAAUAUCCCCAUCCCCAAUGUCCCCAGAUGUCCCCAAGUGCCCCAGAUGUCCCCAAAGGCCCCCAAUGUCCCCAAAUAUCCCCAUCCCCUACUGUCCCCAGAUGUCCCCAAAGGUCCCCAAGCAUCCCCAGUGUCCCCAAAUAUCCCUGUCCCCAAGUGUCCCCGGAUGUCCCCAAACAUCCCCAUCCUCAAACACCUCCAGAUGUCCCCAAGUGUCCCCAGAUGUUCCCAAAUGCCCCCAAGGUCCCCAAAUGUCCCCAUCCCCAAUGUCCCCAGAUGUCCCCAAAGGUCCCCAAACAUCCCCAGUGUCCCCAAAUAUCCCCUUCCCCAAAUGUCCCCAAAUGUCCCCAAGUGUCCCCACAUGUCCCGAAGUGCCCGAUAUCCCCAAAGGUCUCCAAUGUCCCCAAAUAUCCCCAUCCCCUAGUGUCCCUAAAGCUUCCCAAACGUCCCCAGAUGUCCCCAAACAUCCCCAGUGUCCCCAAAUAUCCCGGUUCCCAAUGUCCCCAAGUGUCCCCAAAUGUCCCCAGAUGUCCCCAAAUGUCCCUAAUGUCCCCAAAGUCCCCAGAUAUCCCCAUCCCCUAGUGUCCCCAAAGGUCCCCAAACAUCCCCAAAGGUCCCCAGUGUCCCCAAAUAUCCCCAUCCCCAAUGUCCCCAAAUAUCCCCAGAUGUCCCCAAUGUCCCCAAAUGUCCCCCAGUGUCCCCAGUGUCCCCGCUCACGGCCAGCACGGCGCCAUCGCAGAUGACGAGGUAUCCCAGCUGGUCGGGGACGCGCUCCAGGCCCUGCGUCAGCGCCGUCGUCUGGGGACGGGGGGGACA
rnacentral:lncRNA from 1 species